UCGCUGGUGGUCUAGUGGUUAAGACUCUGAACUUCCAUUGCAGGGGGCUCAGGUUUGAUCCCUGGUCAGGAG
rnacentral:tRNA from 1 species